rnacentral:rRNA from 1 species
AGGAUAAACGCUGGCGGCGUGCAUUAGACAUGCAAGUCGAACGGACUUCUCGGGGCUUGCUCUGAGAAGUUAGUGGCGGACGGCUGAGUAACGCGUAGGUGACCUAUCCUGAAGUGGGAAUAACUGCCCGAAAGGGUGGACUAAUACCGCAUGUGAUCGUCUGUUCAUUCGAACGAUACAAAGCCGUAAGGC